UUUGUAUUUCUUUCUACCCUUAUUUCUUUCUUGUGCAACCCACUCCACCUCGCAAAGUACUUUUAAGAUGCUUGUUCUAUCUCAAUCCUUAUCGAUCACCAAUUGUCAUUCCCUAUUGAUCGAAAUAAACAAAUUAAAAGACCUGCUGCUUGGUGCUUCAUCUCCUUCUAAUUCGAGUUUCGACGAAGUAUAGCUUUUGCGAGGUUUAUGGUUCCUUGCCUUUCCUAUCAAGCUUUGUUCAAUAAAUCAUGUGACUUUUCCAACCUAUGCAAAACUUGCAUUUUGACGUGGUAAUAAAUCGUGUUGAAGCUUAGUGACAAAACGAAGAAACAAAUUAAAUCAGAAAAAGAGCAUCAUGCAAAUUGUGAAAGAGUUUUCAGGCUCAAACACUCAAGCUUUUACUUCCACGACUUGACUAAUUUUCUCCUUUAUGGUUAAAGGGAACUAUUUUUCUUACUUGGUACCAGCAGCUGCAAUUGGAGUAAUGAGAUAUUGUUACAUGUGGUGGAAGGGAUGUUCAUUUUCUGACAUAAUGCUUGUGACGAAGCAAAACAUGGCAAAUGCUGUCUCGAAACAACAUGGAACAUGUGCAUGAAGCUUUGGCUUCAACAAGGAAGCAUCUGACAAAGAGGUUGGAGAACUUGGAUYGGAAGCUGCAGGAAGAGAUCGAAACAACAAAUCUCAUAGCAAAUAAUGUAAGAACUACCUUCGAACUUUUGAGUCUCUUAAUGGAUAUAACAUUAUGAGAUCUUACCUCAAAGAUGAAGUUCAUCCAAAAACCAAUUAUUAUUAUAUGAAGCAUCUUAUUAGAUCCAAUAUGUACUUGUUGACUAGAAUUGGUAAGGAAUCAUGCUAGUCUUUUUUACUUUCAUGGUUAUUGAGAUUGAGAUGAAUUUCUUAGUCUUUCAAAAUUUUAUUUUGAAGCAAACCUCUCCCUAUACAAGCCUUUGCUCUCAAAUUCUUAGA